CGACACAUUCUAGCCACUCUGAAUGUUCUAACGACACAUUCUAGCCACUCUGAAUGUUCUAACGACACAUCCUUCUUAACAGCACUGUCAACAAGGCAGGUUUUACAGGCUCUAGUUUCUACCUUCUUAACAGCACUGUCAACAAGGCAGGUUUUACAGGCUCUAGUUUCUACCUUCUUAACAGCACUACCAACAAGGCAGAUCCUACAGGUCCUAGUUUCUGCCUUCUUAACAGCACUACCAACAAGGCAGGUCCUACAGGCCCUAGUUUCUGCCUUCUUAACAGCACUACCAACAAGGCAGGUCCUACAGGCCCUAGUUUCUACCUUCUUAACAGCACUGUCAACAAGGCAGGUCCUACAGGCCCUAGUUUCUACCUUCUUAACAGCACUGUCAACAAGGCAGGUCCUACAGGCCCUAGUUUCUACCUUCUUAACAACACUACCAACAAGGCAGGUCCUACAGGCCCUAGUUUCUACCUUCUUAACAGCACUGUCAACAAGGCAGGUCCUACAGGCCCAAGUUUCUACCUUCUUAACAGCACUGUCAACAAGGCAGGUCCUACAGGCCCUAGUUUCUACCUUCUUAACAGCACUGUCAACAAGGCAGGUCCUACAGGCCCUAGUUUCUACCUUCUUAACAGCACUGUCAACAAGGCAGGUUUUACAGGCCCUAGUUUCUACCUACUUAACAGCACUGUCAACAAGGCAGGUCCUACAGGCCCUAGUUUCUACCUUCUUAACAACACUACCAACAAGGCAGGUCCUACAGGCUCUAGUUUCUACCUUCUUAACAGCACUGUCAACAAGGCAGGUCCUACAGGCUCUAGUUUCUACCUUCUUAACAACACUACCAACAAGGCAGGUCCUACAGGCCCUAGUUUCUACCUUCUUAACAACACUAUCAACAAGGCAGGUCCUACAGGCUCUAGUUUCUACCUUAUUAACAACACUAUCAACAAGGCAGGUCCUACAGGCCCUAGUUUCUGACUUCUUAACAGCACUGUCAACAAGGCAGGUCCUACAGGUCCUAGUUUCUACCUUCUUAACAGCACUGUCAACAAGGCAGGUCCUACAGGUCCUAGUUUCUACCUUCUUAACAGCACAGUCAACAAGGCAGGUCCUACAGGCUCUAGUUUUGUCACACCUGGACUACUGUCGUGUGGUCAGGUUCCACAAAGAAGGACUUAGGGAAAUUGCAAUUGGCUCAGAACAGGGCAACACAAUUGGCCCUUGGAUGUACACAGAGAGCAAACAUUAA
rnacentral:lncRNA from 1 species